AUUGAACGCUGGCGGCAGGCUUAACACAUGCAAGUCGAGCGGAGAUGAGGUGCUUGCACCUUAUCUUAGCGGCGGACGGGUGAGUAAUGCUUAGGAAUCUGCCUAUUAGUGGGGGACAACAUUCCGAAAGGAAUGCUAAUACCGCAUACGUCCUACGGGAGAAAGCAGGGGAUCUUCGGACCUUGCGCUAAUAGAUGAGCCUAAGUCGGAUUAGCUAGUUGGUGGGGUAAAGGCCUACCAAGGCGACGAUCUGUAGCGGGUCUGAGAGGAUGAUCCGCCAAACUGGGACUGAGACACGGCCCAGACUCCUACGGGAGGCGGCAGUGGGGAAUAUUGGACAAUGGGGGAAACCCUGAUCCAGCCAUGCCGCGUGUGUGAAGAAGGCCUUAUGGUUGUAAAGCACUUUAAGCGAGGAGGAGGCUACUGAGACUAAUACUCUUGGAUAGUGGACGUUACUCGCAGAAUAAGCACCGGCUAACUCUGUGCCAGCCGCCGCAGUAA
rnacentral:rRNA from 1 species